AGCAGCAGCCGCGGUAAUACGUAGGGUGCGAGCGUUAAUCGGAAUUACUGGGCGUAAAGCGUGCGCAGGCGGUUGUGCAAGACAGAUGUGAAAUCCCCGAGCUUAACUUGGGAACUGCAUUUGUGACUGCACGGCUAGAGUGUGUCAGAGGGGGGUAGAAUUCCACGUGUAGCAGUGAAAUGCGUAGAUAUGUGGAGGAAUACCGAUGGCGAAGGCAGCCCCCUGGGAUAACACUGACGCUCAUGCACGAAAGCGUGGGGAGCAAACAGGAUUAGAUACCCGAGUAGUCCCUGUCUCUUAUAA
rnacentral:rRNA from 1 species